UGCCAAGGUGUUGCCCUUGCUGCAAAGAGUGACCGUACUAUUCAAAGUGUCCCCCCCCCCAUUUGCCUUUGCUUGCUCUGGUCACUUGAAGUAUACAGUCAAACUCCAGAGGAAGGGCGAGGGUGAAAUUCCAUUUCAUUAUGGAAUGAAGCCAUUAUAAAAUAGUCACCUGGACUGAUUCACUAACAGUGUGAUGCAGGUUCUCAAGUAAUUUGUGGCAUUUUUAAAGGUCGUGGGGUGUUGAGCACCCAAAGCUCAUUGAAUUCCAGUUUGAUUUGGGCACUUGGCUGCCUUGGCUCUUUCAGAAAUCCCAGCUGUAAAUUCCCCAGUCCUGUCUGCAGCCUGCUGCAUCUCCGUGAAGCUGGAAUAACCGCAGUGACCUUACUGAACUUCCCUAACACCAAUGCUGUCAGCGCUACCAUCAGAAAGCCAGUCCGUAAGGGAUGAGAGCUAUUACAGACCCAAAGCCAUCCCUGUUUAUGCUGAGCUAUAUACCUUUGCCUCCCUAGAAGAGUUUCAGUGUUCUUUUAUUUACUGUGGUAUUUUCUUCAGGCGUUUUAUUUCAUACACCACUUUGGGAGACUCUCAAAGGCUUUCUAAGUACAAACCAUUGCUUGGCAGGCCUUUUCCCGAGACUAAACAAAUUUCUCAUUGCUGUACCAGUCGGCUAUAACUAAGCAUGUGUCCUCUUUCAAAAAUGCCUUUGGUUCCUUUCAGAAUCCACAGCUGCGCAAGCCUGGACCUGUCUCUUGGAUGCCUCCAGGACUCUGAAGUGAUGCCAGUGAACCAUGAAGUCAGGAUGCUCCACCCACAGUCCACCCUCCUGCAGAAGUGGGAGUCACCUGGCCAGCCACGAGGUCAGAAGCUGAUCAGCGGUUACUCCAGCGCGGAGCUGAGGAGCUUCCAGGAAACACGAUAACUCCAAAAAAACCCUUGAACAUCACGUUGAGCAUCUCAUGAAGACAGAAGUAGAAACAGUGAACUUCCAAUAAGAGACUGUAGCUUCUGUGAAAUCCAAAGGGCAUUACAGUACAUGUUUGGGUGUUAACAAGACAGACAUAGAACCAGCGCACUUGAAUAAGCUUUUAACGUAAGCCCAAACUCCAGUGAGAAGGCCCAGACACCAGACUUCAUUGAUUCUUCUGAUAAAGGCAAGCUUUUUUCUCCAUAUUUCUGUCAAGACGAAGAUUUUUGCCAGUGCAAUUGACGGCAUUACCAGACAGUAUUAGACAAAAAUAGCUAGAUCUAACUUUGCCUGGUAAGACAGCAAUCAGCAGGCACUCAGACUAAAGGAAACCACCAACAUUAAAGGAAUUUUUCCAGGUCCAGGACUAAAAAGAUAGGGCAGGGAAAGGCUGAGGGCUUCUCCCUUAGACAAAGCAAUAACCAGUCAAUAUUUAACUUGAAAUACUUGCUGAUUAUGAGGCAGUAUAAUUAUGAAAACAACCGUUUCCAGUUCACUGGUACAUGAGUUAAAAAAAAAAUUGUAAAAAACUUAACUUACCAACAGCUCUGUCCUGCAUCCGUCUUGCUGUGAAAUUGCUCACCAUGCCUGUGUCUGGUGCAGCUCUGUCAAUAGUAGCACAGCAAGACUGUGGAUGCACAUGUUUCAGCUGCACUCUGAAGACUGUGCCCUCAUCGAUAUUAAAGCUCCCCUCAGUGAGUUAACUUUUUUAGAAUUAAGUCUGAUGCAGACCAGGCCUCAGACAGCUCUUAAACCAGCCUAAGAAUCAGUACUGCCUGUAGAAUUGCUCUCCUGUGAAACUGAUUUAAGUGAGAUGAAAAUCAGUAGGAGAAGGGGAGGGAGAGAAAGAUAUUAAGGCAGAGGGGAUUUUUCUGGGUUGCCCCUGGCUCUCAUGACUAACUCCCUCUGAGACAAGACUGAACGGACACUUUCCUAAGCAUACAUCAUCAUGGGGGAGGGUAGGGGGGGAUUUCCCUGGUCUCCAUUUCAUUUUUUUUAAGGUGACAUUCCUGUGCCUGGCAUGGAUGCUCAAUUAGUUAUCAUCUCUUUUUUUUUUUUUUUUAUUUACUCAACUCCAUCCAAGGUUAGGACCCAUACUUUGUUUUAAGAGGAGAUGGAUGGGAGGUAGGUGUGUGCUCCAAUUCAUCUUAUUUAAAUGCUUGUUAAAAGCCAAUUUGCAGAGUCACUCAAAUUUCACACCAUUUCCUCAAUCCCUUGUGAACCAGUUACUUAUUAACACUGAGGCUAAUCACCAAAUAACGCUUCUCUGCUUCUUCCUUCUCUCUCUUGUUUUCCUGAGAAUUAUAACCUGCAAGGGCAAACACAAAACUGAGCUUGUUCCAGUGAGUCAACCAGUGGAGUUAAAGCAGGCACAGUCAGCUCCUUUCAAGCUGUUCACAUUGUAAUGGAAACAAGUUUAUGUUAAGUUAUAUACCAAUUGGUUCAUUUUUCCUACUGUUCUUGUAUUACCUAGUAGUUUUGGUAAGAAAUCAUACACCCAGCUUACUGCAAAGUGUUGAAAAAACAUUUAGAGUUUUCCAGUGACAAAGGCGGAGAAUGCAGAAUUUGCUUGUGUACCGCUGUGUUGCUCUACCAGUUCUGUUUUGGAGUGAGGGAUUACCACUACGCUGAGGAUGAGGAAAAUGUUUUGGUGCUGCGAUUCAAACACAAAUUAAUACUUGGAAUCCAUUUAAAGAUCUGGGGUGAGGAGCGUGUGGUCAGAGUGUGUGUGUAACACUGCCUUAUAUUUCCCACAGAAAGGAGCUGAAAACCAAUGGGUACAAUACUGAAGAAUCAGUACAAGGUCUGUGCACUGUCCCACCUCAAGUAGACCAGGUUGUCUGCAAAAUACUGACUUGGAUUAAUCUGUCAAGGACUAUAGGAAGGACCUGCAGGCUGACAUGUCCUGCCUCACCUUCGCAGCAACAUCAAGGUUCAGUAGCACCUAACGGAGUGGUUUCCAGCAACUUU